UACAGAGGGGGCAAGCGUUGUUCGGAAUUACUGGGCGUAAAGGGCGCGUAGGCGGCUUUGUAAGUUAGAGGUGAAAGCCCGGAGCUCAACUCCGGAACUGCCUUUAAGACUGCAUCGCUAGAACGAUGGAGAGGUGAGUGGAAUUCCGAGUGUAGAGGUGAAAUUCGUAGAUAUUCGGAAGAACACCAGUGGCGAAGGCGACUCACUGGACAUCUGUUGACGCUGAGGUGCGAAAGCGUGGGGAGCAAACAGG
rnacentral:rRNA from 1 species